UACGAAGGGCCCGAGCGUUAAUCGGAAUCACUGGGCUUAAAGGGUGCGUAGGCGGACUGGCAAGUGCUUUGUGAAAUACCACGGCUCAACCGUGGAAUUGCUGGGCAUACUGCCAGUCUUGAGGACGGUAGAGGAUGCCGGAACGCUAGGUGGAGCGGUGAAAUGCGUAGAUAUCUAGCGGAACGCCGAAGGUGAAGACAGGCAUCUGGGCCGUUCCUGACGCUGAGGCACGAAAGCGUGGGUAGCGAACGGG
rnacentral:misc_RNA from 1 species